rnacentral:rRNA from 1 species
AUUGAACGCUGGCGGCAGGCUUAACACAUGCAAGUCGAGCGAGCGGCGGACGGGUGAGUAAUGUCUGGGAAACUGCCUGAUGGAGGGGGAUAACUACUGGAAACGGUAGCUAAUACCGCAUAACAUCAGAUGUUCCCAGAUGGGAUUAGCUAGUAGGUGGGGUAAUGGCUCACCUAGGGGACGAUCCCUAGCUGGUCUGAGAGGAUGACCAGCCAACCUGUAACUGAGACACGGUCCAGAAUCCUACGGGAGGCAGCAGUGGGGAAUAUUGCGCAAUGGGCGCAAGCCUGAUGCAGCCAUGCCGCGUGUAUGAAGAAGGCCUUCGGGUUGUAAAGUACUUUCAGCGAGGAGGCGUUACUCGCAGAAGAAGCACCGGCUAACUCCGUGCCAGCAGCCGCGGUAAUUC